GCCUGAGUGGCUCAGUCAGCUGAGCAUCUGACUUCGGCUCAGGUUGUGAUCUCACGGUUCGUGGGUUCGAGCCCUGCGUUGGGCU
rfam:Felis catus isolate Cinnamon breed Abyssinian chromosome B4, whole genome shotgun sequence.